GAUGAACGCUGGCGGCGUGCCUAAUACAUGCAAGUCGAGCGAACAGACGAGGAGCUUGCUCCUCUGACGUUAGCGGCGGACGGGUGAGUAACACGUGGAUAACCUACCUAUAAGACUGGGAUAACUUCGGGAAACCGGAGCUAAUACCGGAUAAUAUAUUGAACCGCAUGGUUCAAUAGUGAAAGACGGUUUUGCUGUCACUUAUAGAUGGAUCCGCGCCGCAUUAGCUAGUUGGUAAGGUAACGGCUUACCAAGGCGACGAUGCGUAGCCGACCUGAGAGGGUGAUCGGCCACACUGGAACUGAGACACGGUCCAGACUCCUACGGGAGGCAGCAGUAGGGAAUCUUCCGCAAUGGGCGAAAGCUUGACGGAACAACGCCGCGUGAGUGAUGAAGGUCUUCGGAUCGUAAAACUCUGUUAUUAGGGAAGAACAAAUGUGUAAGUAACUAUGCACGUCUUGACGGUACCUAAUCAGAAAGCCACGGCUAACUACGUG
rnacentral:rRNA from 1 species